AAAGGCUCCCAGAAGUUCUCCCGCUUGCUGGCUCUCAGUCUUGGUCCUGUGCCAGGCAGGCAGCCUCCAGGCAGCGCCAUUCAGGUCUCCCGUGGAGAGCAGCCCAGACCCGGCCACACUCAGUGAGGAGGAAGUGCGCCUCCUGCUGGCUGCACUGGUGCAGGACUAUGUGCAGAUGAAGGCCAGUGAGCUGGAGCAGGAGCAGGAGACAGAGCUCCAGUUUCAGUUCUUGCCGGAGAGUUUCCAGAUUUCUCCUCCUGAUGGCCUGUUCUGUGGAUUUUGGAUUUGCCAAGGCAGCCCUCACAAUCCGUGAAAACAUGAAAACAGAAUUUCAACUGAUUCAGCACAAAAGAUUACAAUAACCUAAUAUGAUCAUUGGAAAAGAAUGAAUCAGAAUCUUGGCUUCUAUUGAAGAACAGACAUUACCUUGUAGGUAUCCCCCGCCACAAAAAAGCCAGAAAAAAUCUGAUGACAAUAGAGAAUGACGUAAAAAAUUUUUUAAUGCUAAAGAUUGAACUGUAAAAAACUCUCCUGAAUUGUGCCCUAAACCUAUGUGUUCCAAAAAAAGUUUGAAGGCUUAUUCCAUCUGCAUCAUCUGGGUACUUGUAAAGACAUAUACAUAUCCCCAGGCUCCAUCCUAUGCCAACCAAAUCACCAGGGGUCAGGUCUGAGUAUUAAAUAUUUACCAGGAGAUUCUGACGCACAACGACUUUUGGGAAGUAGCACUCAACUGUCAGUGCUUAUGUCAUAUCCUUUCUUUCCUUCAUCUCAUUGGUCAAGGUCAGGUUUCUGCAGGAAGCUCUCUGUGUUUUUUUUUUUUUACCUGCUGGCAAAUUUCUGCGGUUCCUUUUGUUUACUAACUCCCUUAUCUUAAUAUGGCAUUUAAUCAGAGUAUGUUAGUUUAUGAAACCAUGAAAUUGGGUUUGGAAAAUAGUGGAGAAAAGUAAAACAAUAUUUAAUUUCUUCCCAUAUUGGAUCUUUAGAUCCUGCUUUGCUACAUUAGUUCAGGCAUUCUCUCACAUAGAACAACAGGCAUAUUAAUAUUCAAAUGCAAAUCUGAAUGUAACCCACAUCACUGGCAAGAAAGAUCCUAGCAUGUAGUUUCCUGGGAAGAUAUCAUAGCUCACUUGGAUUAAACAACAGCUAAGGAUUUUCCAACUGAUAAGCUUGAUAUAAUAAAGUUCCUGACCUAAUGCUUUAGGUUUAAUUAACAGUACCACUUUAGGCUUAGAACAAAGGUCUAAUCCUCAGGAUCCAAAGUUCAAAUCCCAGUUGUACUAUUAAAUGGGAUUUUAGGAAAUUUGCUUCACUUUUUCACAUCUAGAUUUUCUGAUUAGUAAAAUGAAGAUACAGUAUGUCAUACUGAAACAAUAACAAUAGCUAAUAGUCAUUAGACGCUAUGCUAAAUGGAAGGCAAGUGGGAAAACAAAAUGAAUUGUUUCUCAUCCAUUGAAGAAAUAUUGGCAAGGUGUGGUGCCUCAUGCCUGUAAUCCCAGUGC
rnacentral:lncRNA from 1 species